rnacentral:lncRNA from 1 species
GAAAGGGCAGCGGAGAGAAUCGCAAAGAGGGAACCCGGGGGUUUCCCCCCAGAAGUGGGAUCUGUGCCUCGCCAGAGACACGAAGGCAGAGCAAAGCAGAGUUCAAGAAAACAUCAGAAAGACGUUAUUGAAUAGCUGUCAUUUGGCAAGUAUAAAUGUAUCAGCGAUUGUGUUGAUAGGAGGCUCUUAUCAAUGCAGAUUAAUUUGAUAAUUGCCCGUGCAGAGAAAGAAAACAAACCAACUAAGUCCAUUGCCACUGACAUCCGAAACGCCUCCCUUGGUUAAAUGAAUUUCCUUUUUUAACUUAUCUUGAAGUAAUACGAAAGUUAUGGUGUAGCCACAAUCAAAAACCACCCCCCCCCAUGUUAUUCCCUUUUUGACCUAUCUUAUUUUUGGCAUCAGCCCGACAGCCCGGAGCAAUGGAGGGCCAAGGGCUUUAUUUGUCCCUUGGGGGAGGAUGAAAAGGCUGUAGAAAAAAUGGCAGUUUUGCUGAGGAUCCCAUCCUUCAGCCUCCCCACGGUGCAGCUCACACGUCCCACACUGGCGGCUGCAGGGAGCGCGUGCUGGGGCAGCACUCAGCGAUGUCAAACGCACCCUGCAAAUGGCCCCAGAUGACAUUUUUAGAGAGGCUCUGUUAUCGGAGCCUACGGAAUUAGCACCGUGCAACAUCCUCGGGCUGCAAGACGGCUCCUGCCAACGUCAAUGGCGGUGUGGUAUGGAGAUCAAAGGUAAAGCGCAGCCAAGGAACUGGUUUGGCUGGUGGGAAAGCAUGGGGGGAGCAGCCCCACCGAACCUCAAAAUGCUCCGGAAUGAAGACUUAUCCCUUGCCACUUGCCUAAAUUAGGCAACCUACGUGUGCAAUUCUUCAGGAAUACCCGCGAGUCGUUUAUCUGAAAAUGCAGCGCUAAAAGCAUUGCCCUUCUGACGAAGAGUUAAUCGCCCUGGGAAUAAAUCAGAGGUCUCACCCAUGCUGUGGGACUUCUCCCAGUGACACCACGUUCCCACUUGGAAACGAGUUUCUUUGUUUGCUUUUCCCCAGUUAUAUAAGGGACAUAAAUUUUUUGUUGCGGAGAGAACUCCAGGCAAUCCGCAUCUCCCUCCAAGGCGUUUCACUGUGGUUCAGCUUGAACACUGCUGCUGUUGCUGCAGUUUUCCAGCUUCUGCCUAUGUCUGCACUAAACCCCCCGCCCCAGGAAGUAACAGCCCGCAUGAAACAUCACUGCCUGACUCCAACCCCACAGAGCAAAGCCCUUUUGCACCCGCUGAUCCCUAUCCUACAAAGCAAAGAGGUUGAGAACAGAGAAGCUUAGGCCAGCACGAGGACGUGCCCAGCGAUGCUCCCCUGUGCAAGAGCAAUUUGGGUGAUCAAAGCGGUGGAACCCAAGCAAACUCUGCUUUGCCACUUGACCCUUUUCCACAUCUCCCACAGCCCCCGGCUUUGCUCUCCUGGCAGCUCUGAGCUCCCCAGCCCCAUCCCUCAGCUCUGAAGGGGAGAGCUGGGGAGGGGAGGCCAUGCCGGGAAGGUCUCAGCAAGGGCUGGGUGCUCACGGCCGGCCGGCGCCGCAUUGCACGCAUACCAGCAAACCUCAGCAGCCCCGGAAGGGGAGCGCGGAUGCUCCCAGGCCAGGCUGCAAGGAAGUCUUAACCCCUUCCCCACUAUGGCCAAGAGGCUCCUUGAGAGCUGGAAGUCAGUGGGAGAGAGGAAUUCACUUAAAGGCCGAGCAUCCCGAUGCCACAUCCCUCCCUUCCUCAUGCUAGUCUAAAAAAUCCCUGGGAACACGGCUCUCCUCUUCCCCUUCCCAUGGCCCCGAGGGGGGGCAGGGGACAAUCCUCAGCCCUAGCCAGAAGCCAUAUGUGCUCCCAGCACAGCCCAGGUGCUGCAGAGCCCAGGGUACCUCUGCCCAGAGUCAAGGACUGUGAAACCCAUGCCCUCGGGGACCCAAGGGAUGGCCGCAGGCUGGUGAGGUUCACUCUGCACCCUGAGGGCACUGUUCGCUCCCGUGUUAACAGUGCCUAAAAUCAUGACAUCAAGGAGGGCUUCUCAUCAAUGUGGGUGAAGGAGAAACCCCCCAAAUGGGGUUUGCCCUCAGGUGGGUCAGUGUGAUCCCCCUGUGACUCAAGGCAGGUUGCUGCACAUGGCUGACUGCACCAGCCAAGUGCCACCCCACAUCCCUGUGUGCCCAGGGAUAUCUGGCCACCCCAUCUCCACAGCCCCUUUCUCAGCACAGUUUCUCACAACAGCUUAUUUAGUGCAGCAAAACCACACUUGUAGAUCCAACACUACAGCAAAGACUUUUCCUUUUUUUUUU